rnacentral:lncRNA from 10 species
UUUCCUUUUUACUAGAAAUAAAAAGAAAACUGCAAUUUUCGUCUAUGAGCUUUUCUAAUUGCUAGUCUAUUUUUCUAUUGUUUUCACUACCAGAAUGAGUCAUCAAUAUCUGCUGUAGCUUGUUCUUUUCUCUGAUUACCUUACAGACUCACUCAUACCUCUACCAUUGAUGUAAGAUUCCUUAACAUCACCACUUCCCUUCUAAUUAACAUCUGAAAUCUCAAUUCUUAAGCCUGUUUUUUGUGACUUUCACGUUAAAUCAGCCCAUCUUUCUUGACACAACUUUUUCCUCUCCUCUUUCUUCCUUCUUCCAAUCCAUCAAAAAAAAACAAAUUAAGAGCCUACACUGUACAAGUAACAAUUGUUGAGGGUUCAUCAUAAGGAAGGUAAAAUUCUACUUCUUUAAGAGCUGGAAUGACUGGAUGUGCAAACACGACAUGUGGAGAAAGAAGCGAGUGCUCCAGUAAACGAUGGUCUUUCCUUCAAAGACAGCCAGCAUUUCCACGGUCCUGUUCCCAUGGUAAGCUUUCCUGGCUAUGUGACCUGAGGCCUCAGUUUCUCCAUCGACAAGAUGAAAAUAAUGACAUCACCUAUCUGAGAGAGCUCAUGAGCUGACACUAUUUUAACAAACUCCCCUUUCAUGACUGAAGAUGUCACCUACCUCAGUGACUGGGGGCUCAGCACAGUUGCUUCCCUGCAUCUGCAUCUGGAUCAGUUUCCCUGUAGAGAGGCCUGAGACUUGCUUCUGUCGGUUACAAACUGCUUGGUCUCCACUGACAUGGCCUUGAGUCAUUUCCAGACCUUCACACUCACCAUCCUUAUAGACACUUUUUGUUUUAAUUACAUGGAGGUAUUCCCAGUUAAAUUACUUUUUUUUCUGUGAAAAUCGCCUUAAUUUUUGACAUCUCCUUGUAUGAAAAAAUGGCAUCAUAAGGCAAAAGUUGCGGAAAUGUAAAGAAGGCAGGGUGUAUUGGCUGUAUCAUAUUUUUGUUGUUAUUGUUGCUGUUUGUUUUUCCCUGCCCAGCUGCCUAAUCGCUAGCCCAGUGAACACCGUGGUAGGAAGACAGAGCGAUCCAACUGCAGGCUGCGGGAGAACUGACAAGACCUGGGACUGUCAAUCUCAGGGGAGGCCCUGCUGCGUUAUCCCAUGAGAAGGGCUGCUGACUAUGCCACUGUGCCAAACCUGGACUUUAUCUCUUACAUCGAUUUGAUUUGGUUUCUCUCAGUCCUCAAGUCAGAUUUGUAUCUGAAUUGAUCACUGAGCCUUUGACAAGUGUCAUCUGCUGUAUAUAUUGCAAUUCAUGACAUUUAAGGGCCUGUUGACCUAGCAAUUCGGCUCCCAUGCAGGAAACAAGAUACCAACUUCAUUUAAAAAUAUGGUACAAUUGACAAAUGCUCAUAUUAACUCAAAUACAUAACAGGAGGCAAGAAAGUAUUCUAAAAUUUAUUUAAUGAUGGUAUCUAUGUAGUUUUACCCCAUCUUUAUUCUUUCGCUAAACAAGAAUAUGUUUCUGUAAUGUCAAAGGUAUACUGGGAACUACUACUAGUCUUCCAUUGCUGCUGUGGAAGUGUUUCAAUUUUUGAAAGUGUAAGAGAUGAGGGAAGAAAUCUGGAUAUAUCAGAUUCUUUGGAAAAUAACAGAUAAGUAAACAUGUAAUAUAUUAUGGCUACUAUUUUAAUGCAAAAAUAUAUUUCUACUACUAACAUAUUUGCCAAGGUAUGGUAAGCAUUGUAUAAAGUAAUGACUACUCAAUAGAAUAUCUAUUUAACAGAUUUAUCUUCCUGAAGAAAAUAUGCAAAGAUAAUCUUAAAAUGUAAACAAUGCUAUAGAAUCAAACUCAUGAAACAGCUGUUGUAUUAGUCUGUUCUCAUGUUGCCAAUAAAGACAUACCUGAUACUGGGUGUUCAUAAAGGAAAGAGGUUUAACUGACUCACAGUUCCACAUGGCUGGGGAGGCCUCACAAUCACGGUGGAAGGCAAGGAGGAGCAAAGCCACGUCUUACAUGGUGGCAGGCAAGGGGGCUUGUAUAGUGGAACUCUCCUUUAUAAAAUCAUCAGUUCUCAUGAGACUUAUGAUCAUGAGAACAGCAGGGGAAAGACCCAUCCCCAUGAUUCCAUUACCUCCCACUCGGUUCCUUCCAUGACACAUAGGAAUUAUGGGAGCUACAACUCAAGAUAAGAUUUGGGUGGGGACACAGCCAAACCAUAUCAGUUGUUAAACCCAUAUUUUGCCAAGUCUUAGUUUUAUUAUCUGUGAAAUGAAAAAUAUUAAUACCUAUCUGCCCUACCGACUUCACAAAGAUGCUGUGACAACCAGGUGGAUUAAUAUAUAGAAAAUGAUGUGGAAAAUAAAAAACAUGAUGGGAAAG